rnacentral:rRNA from 1 species
GACGAACGCUGGCGGCGUGCUUAACACAUGCAAGUCGAGCGGUAAGGCCCUUCGGGGUACACGAGCGGCGAACGGGUGAGUAACACGUGGGUGACCUGCCUCUAGCUCUGGGAUAAGCCUGGGAAACUGGGUCUAAUACCGGAUAUGACUCCACGGCGCAUGUUGUGGGGUGGAAAGCCUUGUGCGGCUGAGGAUGGGCCCGCGGCCUAUCAGCUUGUUGGUGGGGUGAUGGCCUACCAAGGCGA